GAUGAACGCUGGUGGCGUGCCUAAUACAUGCAAGUCGAGCGAACAGACGAGGAGCUUGCUCCUCUGACGUUAGCGGCGGACGGGUGGGUAACACGUGGAUAACCUACCUAUAAGACUGGGAUAACUUCGGGAAACCGGAGCUAAUACCGGAUAAUAUAUUGAACCGCAUGGUUCAAUAGUGAAAGACGGUUUUGCUGUCACUUAUAGAUGGAUCCGCGCCGCAUUAGCUAGUUGGUAAGGUAACGGCUUACCAAGGCAACGAUGCGUAGCCGACCUGAGAGGGUGAUCGGCCACACUGGAACUGAGACACGGUCCAGACUCCUACGGGAGGCAGCAGUAGGGAAUCUUCCGCAAUGGGCGAAAGCCUGACGGAGCAACGCCGCGUGAAUGAUGAAGGUCUUCGGAUCGUAAAACUCUGUUAUUAGGGAAGAACAAAUGUGUAAGUAACUAUGCACGUCUUGACGGUACCUAAUCAGAAAGCCACGGCUAACUACGUG
rnacentral:rRNA from 1 species